rnacentral:lncRNA from 1 species
CACAAUGGACAUGCCUCCACCUGUGCUUGCAGCUGCUGCAUUGGGCAGAGCCUCAUGGGUGCCUUCCCCUGAUAGGACCAGACGGCGGUGCAGCCUCCCCAAGUCCAGCUCCUGGAGGGCAUCCAUGGCACCCAGCUGGGCUCCAGAGGCGUCCUGGCAGGAGGAGGGCAGAGGGAGGAGCUGGAGGCCAAUUAGGUGCAUGCAGAAGUCGUGCAGAGGGAGGGUGUCCAGCAGGAGUCGUGGCCAUGGGGACAGAGGGGGAGCCAAGCCAGAGGCCCUCAGGGGAUGAUUGGCGCGUUAUGACCAGUUUAGUGCUUUGGUUUUUCUUAAUGGACAGGACAAAAUCCAAGAACGCCAAGUGUGGCUCUGUGAGACAGCUCUUUUUCCUUCAUUGGGAUCUGGAAUGUCCCCAGUGUCCCCAGAGGCCCCUGUGUCUUAAAGGCUUGGUGUCCAGCUUGGGGGGAGGGAGGUGGUGCAGCCUUCAGGUGGGGCCUGGCAGGAGGUCUCACGUCAAAGGGGCAUGACCUGGAAGGGAACCAGGACUCUGCUGGCCCCGGCCCCUCCCUCCUUGGCCAGGAAGAGAGCACCCGCUCUACCACAUGCUCCCGAAGCAACGCCCCCCCAUGUCACGGACUGAAGCUGCAGACUGUGAGCCCAAACAGAACUUUUCUCUUCCUGUGGAGACCCUCGGGUGCUUGUUAUGGAGGCAGGAGGCUGCCCAACCCCAGGGUAGAUGCUACAUUGGGCUGCAACAUGGAAUCCUCUGGCUCUGAGAUCCUGGGGACCUGCCUGGUUGUUUCACUUCACUUCACCUCACCCUGAUAGCCUUCCAGCAAAUUCCCCUUUGCUUAUACUGGCCAGAGGUGGUUGCAAGGGUUUCCACCUGUCUUCAAACUGCUGGCCCCUAGGACCCAUGAAUUUGGCAGCAAAUUCAGAAGGAAGUCUCAGCCCCUGGAGGCCAUCCAGGGAGGGAGAGCUGGGUUUGGAGGUGGCCCAUCCCUAGCCCCUGGCAAGCACAGUCAGACUGGGAGCAUCAUCCACAGAGCCAGAGAGUAAGGUGUAACCAAGACUUCCCACAUUGGCAUACUCCACCUGGCUCCUAGAUGUUGCCGCUCAACGCGGGCAGAGCCUGAGUCCCUGGUGCCCUGUUUUAACUCAUACCUAUCCUCUGCUGCCGCCUAGUGGUCACUGUGCCACACACCGUCUUCCUCACCCCCACCCACCGCCCACCCUAGGACACCGCAACCUGGAUUUUGUCUAGAAGCAUGGACCAUGGUUGACUUGAUUGCAAAAAGUGUGACAGGUUAGACCACAAGGAACAGCAAGAGUGAGCUCGCUUCCUCCCUUUCCUCCUCAAAUAUCUCCCAUUUCUUUUCAUAAACUCAAAGCAUCUUCCCUGGAGAUAAACAAAACCAAAGCAGCCAGUUGACAUCUGGGGCAGCCUUCUAAGUCACAGACUGACAUUCUCGCCGCCUGCCAGGAGGCACUUGGAAGGGCACGGAUUACCUCUGUGUAGUCCUUGCCCAAACUUGUGACCUGAACUUAAUUAUGAGAAAACGAACCCAAAGUUAAGGGGUACUGUACAAAAUCACCAGGAGAAUGUGUUGGAAGUGUCAUGGUCAAGGAAAUGUGGGUCUGAUUCAGGCUGAAUAUGGAGAAAUGAUAUCUAAAUGCCAGGUGAGGUCUCAGGCUCAAUCCUGAGCAAAGACAGAACAGCGGAUCAGACAGAGGCGGGGCCACAGCACCCAAGGCCUGCCCUUGUUCUGACCUCAGGUCUGGGGAAGCCUGUGACUAUUGCUUGGGUUUGGUUUUUGAGACACAGCCAUACUGAGUCGCUCAGGCUGGUCUCCAGCUCCCAGGUCAACCACCCUCCUGCCUCAGCCUC